GUGUCAGCAGCCGCGGUAAUACGUAGGUGGCAAGCGUUGUCCGGAAUUAUUGGGCGUAAAGGGCGCGUAGGCGGUCCCUUAAGUCAGAUGUGAAAUCCCGAGGCUCAACUUCGGGCGUGCAUUUGAAACUGGGGGACUAGAGUGCAGGAGAGGUAAGUGGAAUUCCUAGUGUAGCGGUGAAAUGCGUAGAUAUUAGGAGGAACACCAGUGGCGAAGGCGACUUACUGGACUGUAACUGACGCUGAGGCGCGAAAGCGUGGGGAGCAAACAGGAUUAGAAACCCCUGUAGUCC
rnacentral:rRNA from 1 species